rnacentral:rRNA from 1 species
GAUUAACGCUGGCGGCGUGCAUAACACAUGCAAGUCGAACGAUGAAACUUUAAUGAACCCUUCGGGGAGAAUUAAAGCGGAUUAGUGGCGAACGGGUGAGUAACGCGUGAGUAACCUGCCUUACACAAGGGGAUAGCCUUUGGAAACGAAGAAUCAUACCCUAUAAAACCAUAAAAGCACAUGCAAUUAUGGUCAAAGUGAUAGCGGUGUAAGAUGGACUUGCGUCUGAUUAGCUAGUUGGUGAGAUAAAAGCCCACCAAGGCAACGAUCAGUAGCCGGCUUGAGAGAGUGUACGGCCACAUUGGGACUGAGACACGGCCCAGACUCCUACGGGAGGCAGCAGUGGGGAAUUUUGCACAAUGGGGGAAACCCUGAUGCAGCGACGCCGCGUGAUUUAGAAGGCCUUCGGGUUGUAAAAAUCUUUUGUAUAGGAAGAAAAUGACAGUACUAUACGAAUAAGGUCCGGCUAAUUACGUG